rnacentral:rRNA from 1 species
AAAGGAAUUGACGGGGGCCCGCACAAGCAGUGGAGUAUGUGGUUUAAUUCGAAGCAACGCGAAGAACCUUACCAGGGCUUGACAUGGAAAUGACAGGUAUAGAGAUAUACCCUCCCUUCGGGGCAUUUCACACAGGUGGUGCAUGGUUGUCGUCAGCUCGUGUCGUGAGAUGUUGGGUUAAGUCCCGCAACGAGCGCAACCCCUACGGUUAGUUGCUACCAAAAGAGCACUCUAGCCGGACUGCCGUUGACAAAACGGAGGAAGGUGGGGACGACGUCAAAUCAUCAUGCCCCUUAUGUCCUGGGCUACACACGUACUACAAUGGCGGCCAACAGAGGGCAGCGAAACCGCGAGGUGGAGCGAAUCCCAUAAACGCCGUCCCAGUUCGGAUUGCAGGCUGAAACUCGCCUGCAUGAAGUCGGAAUUGCUAGUAAUCGCGGAUCAUCAUGCCGCGGUGAAUACGUUCCCGGGCCUUGUACACACCGCCCGU